CCUACGGGUGGCAGCAGUGAGGAAUAUUGGUCAAUGGGCGGGAGCCUGAACCAGCCAAGUCGCGUGAGGGAAGACGGUCCUAUGGAUUGUAAACCUCUUUAGGCGGGGAGCAAUGCCGGGCACGCGUGCCCGGAGGGAGAGUACCCGCAGAAUAAGCAACGGCUAACUCCGUGCCAGCAGCCGCGUUAAUACGGAGGAUGCGAGCGUUAUCGGGAUUUAUUGGGUUAAAAGGAUGCGUAGGCGGAUUUUUAAGUCAGCGGUAAAAUGUACGGCCUCAACCCGGGACGGCAGUUGAAACUGGGGGUCUUGAGUGGGCGAGAGGUAAGCGGAAGGCGUGGUGUAGCGGUGAAAUGCAUAGAUAUAACGAAGAACUCCGAUUGCGAAGGCAGCAUACCGGCGGCCAACUGACGCUGAGGCACGAAAGCGUGGGGAUCGAACAGGAUUAGAUACCCUGGUAGUC
rnacentral:rRNA from 1 species